GAGGAAUAUGAGAAUAGAUUGAAGGCGGGGAAUGAAAAACUCAACAAAUUAUGUAAGGAGUUGCAGAAUUUCAAAGCUUCACAUAAUGAGACUUCUGGAGAUGCACUCCGUGAAUUCGAACAGGAAAAACAGAAAUUCAUGGCCAAGCUUGUAGAGAUGAGGAGAAAGGCGAACGAUGUGCUGGCAUCACUUGCUGGCCACAUUAAGGAAGUGAAUCGGGGUGUGGGAAUGAGGAGAAUGGUCCAUGAGGAUUUGCAAUAUAGGCUCGCAUUGGAAGGGCG